CUAUUCAUUCAAACUGAAGACUGAGUGGUCUUUGAAGCAAGAUAUAAACCCCACAUUCCACUGCUUUUCCAGAUUUUACCUUAACAGAUCUACAGAAGUACUUCUGCACGCCAUAUACAGGAGUGAAGUGCUAUCACCCACCAUUUUAAGCAAGGAUAUACUGCAGCUGGGUAGCUUGUCACUCCUAAGCAAAUGAGCAAGAGGAAUAUCUGCAAUGACAAGGCUAUGGUAUUUCUGAUCUUCACAGAAGUUACUGUCAGAGCACAGCAGACACGCCUACACAGCUAAUUUGUUCUUAUCACUGAAUAACUGUGGUUACAGAAGAGAC